UACAGAGGGGGCAAGCGUUGUUCGGAAUUACUGGGCGUAAAGGGCGCGUAGGCGGCCUUCUAAGUCGAACGUGAAAUCCCUGGGCUCAACCCAGGAACUGCGUCCGAUACUGGAAGGCUUGAAUCCGGGAGAGGGAUGCGGAAUUCCAGGUGUAGCGGUGAAAUGCGCAGAUAUCAGGAGGAACACCGGUGGCGAAGGCGGGUCUCUGGGCCGAUACUGACGCUGAGGAGCGAAAGCGUGGGGAGCGAACAGG
rnacentral:rRNA from 1 species